rnacentral:rRNA from 1 species
GAUGAACGCUGGCGGCGUGCCUAAUACAUGCAAGUCGAGCGAACAGACGAGGAGCUUGCUCCUCUGACGUUAGCGGCGGACGGGUGAGUAACACGUGGAUAACCUACCUAUAAGACUGGGAUAACUUCGGGAAACCGGAGCUAAUACCGGAUAAUAUAUUGAACCGCAUGGUUCAAUAGUGAAAGACGGUUUUGCUGUCACUUAUAGAUGGAUCCGCGCCGCAUUAGCUAGUUGGUAAGGUAACGGCUUACCAAGGCGACGAUGCGUAGCCGACCUGAGAGGGUGAUCGGCCACACUGGAGCUGAGACACGGUCCAGACUCCUACGGGAGGCAGCAGUAGGGAAUCUUCCGCAAUGGGCGAAGGCCUGACGGAGCAACGCCGCGUGAGUGAUGAAGGUCUUCGGAUCGUAAAACUCUGUUAUUAGGGAAGAACAAAUGUGUAAGUAACUAUGCACGUCUUGACGGUACCUAAUCAGAAAGCCACGGCUAACUACGUG